ensembl:lncRNA
AAUAGAACCCCACAAUAAGACCCUGAAGAACUGACCCCUCACAUGAAGAAGUGGUUGAUAAAGCAAACCAGUAGGAGUGACAAAAGAUGUCUCCAAAAGGGACCAGCUGCUGGACAAAUCUGAGCCUGUGAGUUUCACCUCUGUGGUAAAGUAUUUAAAAAAGGAUAAAAAUAUUGAACAGCAGCUUUGAGAGGAGGGAGAAAAUAUGGAGGGAAACAGUCAUGAAGACACCAAGCUCAGUGAAGAAGGAGGAAAAGAGAUGUUCCAGGCACCAGAGCAGGAUGUUCCCUGUGAGACUGUGAUGAAGUGUGAUGAAGAAGGUUUGAGCCCCUGCAGCCCAUGGUGUAUCAUAUCAUAUCAGAGCAGAGCAGAGCAGAGCAGAGAUCUACACUACAGUCUGUGGAGGACUCCAUGCCAGAGCAAGCACACCUGCUUUGAAGUAAACUUCAGUUUUUAGAGAUGAGCUCAUGCUGAAGCAGGGGAGGAGCAUUACAAGGAAGGAACAGUAGAGGCAAAGUGUUAUGAACUGACCACAACCCCAUUCCACUGUCCUUAUUCCCCUGAAUCAUGUAAGGCAGAAGACAUAGAAACCUCAAGAUUGAAGUUGAGCCUAAGAAGAAGAGGUGGACAGGAGAAGGUCCUGUUUGUUGCCUGGGAGAAGAGGCCAAACCCCUCCUCAUCACAGCCUUCGUUCAGGAAAAUGGAGACUGCGGACAGAUUCAUGUCUGCUGAAAAAAAAAAAGAAAGGAAAGAAAGAAAGAAAGAAAGAAAGAAAGAAAGAAAGAAAGAAAGAAAGAAAGAAAGAAAGAAAGAAAGAAAGAAAGAAAGAAAGAAAGAAAACAAUAAGAUACCAGCUCUGGCUCCACACAGGUGAACAAUGGAAAUUGAAGAAAGACACACUGCAGCGACAACUCUUCUGGCUCCGCUUCAGACAGUUUGGGCUUGAAAGGGCUUGUGGUUGCAUUUAUGCACUGUUAAGUGCCUGAGUCAGAGUUAAUUCUGUGAUCUGAAAUCUGCUACAUCCAAUGGUAGAUAUGACCUCAGACCUCUCUGUUUUGGUUGUUUUUAAGUUUUGCAUACAAUUGUCCUGGUAUUCAUGAUAUUCCUAUCUAAACCACUGAGCACUGGUGGGUUUUUUUUCUUUGUUUGUUUGUUUGUUGUUGUUUGUUUGUUUUGCUUUGCUUUGCUUUGUUUUUUACUAGUUGUCAGAUCUAUACCAGCCUAGACUGCUGAAUGCUCAGAAUCAUUCCCACAAACAAGUCCCAGCAGGAUUAAGAAACCAUGUAUUUUUCUGAGUUAUUCAAUUUUAGAAAUGAAUCAGUGAGCACUUUCAUGUUCCAUACAACAAAACUACUGGAUCAGAAUGCUCAAGAAACAUAUGAUCAGAUUUUAGUCCCCAGGCCAUGUAAAGAAUAAGUCUCUUCCACUUGACGGUGGGACUAGAAAUGUUAGCAUUUAUUUGAAGUACUUGUCUGGUGAUAUUUGCUGACUUAACAUAAGCAAAAAAAUUACUAGAAGAUGACUGCGGAUCGGACCCCAUAACACACAGGCAAGAGUCCAACCUGUAUUGCAGCUGAACUACUUUGUUUACAUGUCUAGUUGUUCCCACUGUGCUGGCACCUAUCUCUGUAAUUUUAAAUCUUUGCACAUGUUGCACCAGAAUUAGGGAUCCGACUGUGCUGUGUUCUGGGAUAUAUUCUCUUGGUGUGUUCACAGUGGAAGAGGCUGUUCAUGCUUCACAGAAGCUAGCAGGAGUUUGUGAGAUGUAUCGGUGACAGUGUCACAGAAUGAUAGAUAGAACCUCAUAAUCAGCAUACUCUUACACAAAAAUCAACUCAGUUUGUCAUAGAUUGUUACGCAGUGGUAUGAUCUUUCCUGGCUCCAAAAGAGGAAAUGACACUAAAGUCUUUUUUUUUUUUUUUUUUUUUUUUUUUUCCUCUGGCUGGUCUUGGCCACCGUUUCCCCCAGGAUGUGCAUGUGAUUACAAUGAGGAUUGCUAACACAUUCUACAGCGAGAGUUUUUAUUUUCUUUAAUCUCAAUAUAGCCCAGCCUCCGUAUCUUCAGAUUGGUGCUCUAACCUCUGCACCAUACACAAAAGAUCAAGUACCACAUGCUCACUGGCCCUUGGAUGAACACUCUGAACUGCUCUUAAGUGAAUAUAUUCUCCCAACAUUUCAGUCUGUUUUCCAGCACUGAAUAAAGAGACCUAAAUCAGAUGGGAUACAUGCUGUAAUACAGCCUUGGGUCUUUGUCAGACCCAGAAAAGUCAGAUUGUGAUGUGUUGUAAUUUAAGAAAGAUCUUAUUCUCAAACAUUUUUACAGUGUCUCGAUUCAUUUUAUCACACACACACACACACACACACAAAAAAAAAAAAAAAAAAAAACCCUGAAAAGUAGUCAACACCUCAACACAUUGCGCUUUACAAUCUGUGAGCAUUCUUUACCACUGUGUCGUUACUGUUAAUGGAAUUUGCUGUUCUUAUGUAAGAAAAUGGUAAUACAUUUGAAGCUAGGUGUUGGUCUUCUCUUCUCUUCUCUUCUCUUCUCUUCUCUUCUCUUCUCUUCUCUUCUCUUCUCUUCUCUUCUCUUCUCUUCUCCCUUUUUCCCUUUCCCCUUCCUUUCCCUUUCCUUUUUUUGUUGACUCAUACCUUUGUUACUGAAAAACAACCUUUUUUCCUCUUCUGUACUUGAAAUGUUUCUGUACUGUUAGUGAAUAAUUAGUGUUUUCAAAGGACUGAACUUAAAUUUAACUACACUGAUUACAUCUGAUUGAAUGAGGAGUGUGCAACUUAAUCUUUUUAACAUUAAGAACAUGCUUUUUACCCAGUUAGCAUUUCAGUGAAGUAUAUUUUCGAACAACUUUGUGACAAUCUCUGUAAAUCCUAGCAACCAGUUCUUAGUUAAGCAGAUGCUUUCUCAAUAGGUUCUUUAAAUCUUCCAUAAACUUUUUAUGUUCCUCUUCCAUGGGUUUUCAUAUUUUUAAAGUUGAGAAAUACUGGUACACAUUUCUCACCUGCUUAGCAUUCAUUUCUGUUUCAUAAUCCCUUUACAAACAACAGGUUUAUUGAUUAUAAAACCUCCUGCAAGACAUUCUUGCCAGUGUGGGUCUUUCUUAUGAAAGCAGGAAGGAAAAAAAAAAAAAAAAAGAAAGAAAGAAAGAAAGAAAGAAAGAAAGAAAGAAAGAAAGAAAGAAAGAAAGAAAGAAAGAAAGAAAGAAAGAAAGAAAGAAAGAAAGAAAGAAAGAAAGAAAGAAAGAAAGAAAGAAAGAAAGAAAGAAAGAAGAAAAAAAAAAAAAACCCACACUGAAAAAUGGUGACUUGGAAAUGAGCCACAUUUUAUUUCUUUUAUUUUAAGGGUUUUUUUGUGUUUUUUUUUUUAAGUGAACUAGUUACCCCAGCAACCUACCUAGGUUCUUGUUUUCUGGCAGAAGACAGAUUUCUUUGGUUCUAUCAUGAUGCAGAGCUGAAAGAAGGAACAGAAGAACAAGCAAUGAAAAUUCACUAUUUCAUUAUUUAAAUAUGUGAAUUACCACAAGCUGCAGCCAAGCCAUGGGUCUUAUACACAGUGUCCUUCAACACUUAUUCAAUCCCUUCAGUGCUGCAAUACUUCAUUUCCAUUAAUUAAAUAAUUACACCAAACUCUGUGUAAAGAAAGCAUUCAGAUGAAUUCAGGCAUUCCAAAAUAGUCAUUCAGUAAAGCUGAAGCUCAUAUUAUUAUGCCAUGAAUUGACAAAGAUUUUGUUUAUUUCCCUUACCAGAGAUUAACUCCCCACAUUCCUCCCUUCCUCCACCCAAAAAAUAAAAUAAAAUAAAAUAAAAUUAUAUUUCACAUAGGAGAUAAAUGAAAGUUAGUUCUCACAAUCUUAGUUUUUUAUUUAAUAUUAUAAGAAUAACUUUAUAAUCUUGAAGAGCUAAUACACAUUAUAGAAUACUUUCUAUGAAGUUGUUUGAUUAAAAAAAUGUUCUUGCUUACAGAAGAUUAGCACUGUUAUUAGUGAGAAACAAAUAAAACAGUAGUGUUUGUAAUGAAAUUAUAUCUUGGCCAUUUUGACAAUAUAGAACUGUUGUUUUUUACAACCCAUGGUAUGUGUAGUCACAAAACACUUUACCUUCAGUUGUUCACUUGUCUCAGGAGAAAAAAAGUAGUGGAAUCUGAGAGAAAAGGCAGUAGAAAUGAAUUCAUAGAAUCAUAGAAUCAUAGAAUCGCUAAGGUUGGAAAAGACCCACAGGAUCAUCCAGUCCAACCAUUCACCCUUCACCAAUGGUUCCUGCUAAACCAUGUCCCUCAACACAACAUCCAAACGCUCUUUAAACACCACCGGGGUCGGUGAUUCCACCACCUCUCUGGGCAGCCCAUUCCAGUGCCUGACCACCCUUUCAGAGAAGUAGUAUUUCCUAAUAUCCAGCCUGAAUCUUCCCUGACGCAGCUUGAAGACAUUCCCUCUCAUCCUAUCACUAGUCACCCGAGAGAAGAGGCUGACCCCCAGCUCACUACAACCUCCCUUCAGGUAGUUAGAGAGAGCAAUAAGGUCUCCCCUGAGCCUCCUCUUCUCUAGACUGAACAAUCCAAGCUCCUUCAGCCGCUCCUCAUAAGGUCUGUGCUCCAGACCCCUCACCAGCUUUGUUGCCCUCCUCUGGAAACGCUCCAGGGCCUCGAUGUCUUUCUUACAGUCAGGGGCCCAAAACUGGACACAGUACUCAAGGUGCGGCCUCACCAGUGCUGAGUACAGGGGGAUAAUUACUUCCCUGCUCCUGCUGGCAACACUAUUUCUGAUACAAGCCAGGAUGCCAUUGGCCUUCUUGGCCACCUGGGCACACUGCUGGCUCAUGUUCAGUCUAGCGUCAAGCAACACCCCCAGGUCCAUUUCCUCUACACAGUCUUCCAGCCACUCUGCCCCAAGCCUGUAGCCUUGCCUGGGGUUAUUGCGGUCAAAGUGCAGGACUCGGCAUUUGGUCUUGUUGAAUCCCAUCCCAUUGACUUCAGCCCAGCUAUCCAACCUAUCCAGAUCCCUCUGUAGGGCCUCGCUACCCUCAGGUAGAUCAACACUUCCAGCCAGUUUGGUGUCAUCUGCAAACUUACUGAGGGUGCACUCAGUGCCCUCAUCAAGGUCAUCAAUAAAGAUAUUAGACAGGACAGGCCCCAGCACCGACCCCUGGGGAACACCACUCGUGACCGGUCGCCAGCUGGAUUUAACUCCGUUCACUACCACUCUCUGGGCCCGGCCCUCCAGCCAGUUCCUUACCCAGCCAAGAGUGUAUCUGUCCAAGCCACGAUCUGCCAGCUUCUGCAGGAGAAUACUGUGGGAGACAGUGUCAAAGGCUUUGCUGAAGUCUAGGUAGAGCACAUCAACAGCCUUUCCCUCAUCCACCAGACGGGUCACUGGAUCAUAGAAGGAGAUCAGGUUGGUCAAGCAGGAAUUCACUGGAUAAUAAAUUGGAAAGAGUUGACUGGAAAGAAGAGAAAAUGCAUUCAAGUGAAGUGAUGGUUAAAUUGGGUUUUAUAGACCAGAGGUUGCAUAAAGAAGGCUAGAAGUCUGCAACAGAAACCAAAUGUGCAUUGCAAUAGAAUAAGCAAUGGCAUUCAAGGGAGUGGUCUAUAUGAUGUGCAGAGAUACCAUAUUGUGGCUUUGACAACUGUUCUUCAAACCUUAAUAUUCUUCUGCAUUUCUGUACACAAUACAAAUAUUUGGCAGCCAGUAUGUCAUUGUGUAGAAGGUAAAUUAGAGACAGGAUAUCAGACAGUGGAGAUGACAAUAGCAUAACUUAGAAAAAUAUAAACUGGAUGGUUUGUUUACUCACUUGCAGUCACCAUGCACCACAGUUACAAAAAUGGCGGAUGAACUGAUAUCUGCCUAUGGAAGAAAGUUCAUUUUGUUUACUGCAGAACUUCUUUUUAUGAACCUAAUUUUUCUGCUAUAUUUGUCCAUCAGCAAAUGGAGAUUUUGAGAGAAGUGGAGGGAUAAAAAACCUAAAAUAAGAUCAUGUGUUAUAUUUAUAGACAGUUCCCAAGUGCCCAGGGAAUUCAGAGGUGACAUAUACUCUGAACCCUGCUGUAGUGCUAUAUAUGAACACCAUUCUCUGGAGUUCAUUAUUCUUUCACCUUUAGAUGUCAUAUGAAUUGCAAACAUUUCUGUACUGUUUUAUGUGAAAUAUACCAAGUUCUUUGACAGAGAUACAUUCUUCUUCUGGAGAAGUUUCAGCUUUCAUCUUUGUGAGGACACUGUCAGCAACAUUUGGAGGAGCUUAGAGCAAAGAGCACAGGCAAGACAAAAAAGGAAGAGAUACUAAUGAUCAUAGGAGAGACAUAAAGAGAGACAUCCAGUAUGAAGAUCAUGAGACUUUUACAAACUUUGUACUAAAGGAAAGCAGGAGGGCUGGACUUGUGAUUGUACAAGUUGAUGAUUUCAGUGCAAGAUAAAAAUCUCACUCUUUUUAAUAUAAGUAAAAUACAGUAAAAGAUAACUAGGAAGGCUAUAAGUAUAACGAGGAUAUGUUUCAGAAUUGAUGGAUGAUUCUUUCUGUCUUUGAGAGCUUCACUGCACUGCUGGAUCACACAGCAACUUAAAGUAAGAAAAAAUUACAAUGGAAAAACCACCAUGAAAAUGGAGUAGAAAGGUGAAGAAAUUUAGAAAUGUAAUUUACAAAUGCAGAAUGUUUCUAUUUUCCAUCUGUUCAUGCAGUCACUACACAGUCCUUUCAAACUAAAGCUAAAUCUUUAAAAUAUCUGAUUUAGCUUCUACGAAACUAAAAAAAUGAGUGCCUAAUAAUCCCAUAAUCUCACAGUAACCUUUCAUAUUGUAAGGUAAAAAUGCCUUCAAAACAAAUGGUCUCAGAGGUAGCUGAAUCAUCAUAUCUGUUGGUAAAUAGGACAUGUGCAUAUGCACUCAGCUCAUUUUACUCUAUCAUAUACUGAUAUUUUAUUAGUGUAGUGUGUGUAUACAUAGCAUAUCUUUAAGAAAAGAAUUGUAGCUGAGAUCAGAGAUUAACUAUUUAGAUAAUUAGAGUCAUCUAGAGACUUAGGUAACAUUUUGCUUUGUUAUUCAAAUCAGAUAACUAUUAGAACUUUAUGGCCUUAACCUUUUAAGACUUUAAAGAAUGGCUUCUGGAAUUUAAUUUAAAAUCCAGUGAAAACAAGCUGGAAGUGUACAACUCCAGUUGUUUUAAAAGGGAUUGUAUUUUAGGAUCUACAUUACAGAAUUAGCAUGAGUUUAAAAUGUUCCUAUGGUGUGUACUUUGUAUUUUGUUAAGGUUUUUUUUUGUUUUGUUUUAUUUUUUGGUUUUGUUUUUUUUAAGAAUGCUGAUGUUUUAAUCUUUGUUAAUUUUUUUGAGCUUUACUUUAAUCUCCAAAUACAAAACAUAUAGUUCAGGUCUGUAAAUUUACCUCAAAGAACUGGAUUGAAAGAGACUAUGUUAGGGACCUAUAAAUCCUUCAUUUAGGUUUCUGUUUUUCUUCAAAGGUGCUUUAGUACAAUUAAUGUAGUUGAGUGUUCAAAAAGUGCUCAACUUCUCUCAAAAUUCUUUCCAUUGUGAAAGUCCUCAAAUAAACAAAUCAUAUAAACAGUUUGAUGUGAUUUUUGAUAAAUUGUUCAAAAAAAUAAGAAACAAUAGGUAGAAAUUAUCUAUUUCCACAAAAUAAGCAGAAUUUCAGUAUAUUCUUCAAGUAUUUACUUUUCAGCAUAUUUACUGAUGUUCCAGUAGAGAGUGUACUUCUCUCUACUGGAUAGAACAGUUAAGUCCAAAUCUGUCUGAAAGUUUUAUAAGUGAUCUCAUGUUAAACAGUAGUAGAAUGACAAAUGACAUUCAUCACUGAAGUCACGUGGAAAAAGUGACUAUAAAUUAUAUGAACUUUGACAUUAAUUUGCUCUAAACUAGCCACUAUUGCUUGAAAAAAAAUCUUAAAGACACUUACUAGAAUAAGACUUCUCAGGCUGAAGAAGAGGUGAUGGGAAAGUAAAUGACUGGUGUAAGUAAUGCAAAUUGAAGGAGAGAAGAGUUAUUCACUAUUUUAAAUAUUUAAAGAAGUAGAAGGAGGAGAAGGGGACAGAGAUUGAAUUGCCAGUGCUAAACAAAAUAUGGAGCAAUUUUGCAUGAUGAAUAGUCUGUGGGACUCUUUAUUACAAGAUGUUCUGGAAACUAAAAUUAGGAGUUUGAAAAAGAGUUUAAUAAUUCAUAAAGGAUGUAUCAGUCAAUGGCUAGUACACCAUGGUCUGGAUACAACUCAUGAUCAGGAAGUUCCUAGGAAAUUGACUGCCAAAAGGUAAGUUGAAACUAACCUUAUAAAUAUGCUGUUGUUACAUUUUUCUGUUUUCCCUCAAAACUGAUAGGGAAAACAACCUGUGAGGAAAAAUAAAACAAAACAACACAAAACAAAACAAUGAAAAAACCACAGUCUCUUCAGACCCAUCCAUUACAUGCUUCUCAUUUCAGUCAAUGUGAUUUUCCUUCCCUUCCCUUCUCUCUCCUUCCUUACUACUUUCCUUCCAGCUGAUGUGUGGGCAUGCCACUACUGUUCAGAUCCUUCACGUAAUUUCAUUUCCAGGUGUAUUUCCCAAUGAACCUGUAAUCCCAGUACUCUUCAUCUCCAAUUUGAUUUACAUUAAAACUGAAGAUCUCCUUUAUAUAUUUGGAGGAAUAUAAAAAACUUUUUUUUUAAUUAUUUUUCUAGGUAAGUCAUUAUAUAAUUUUAAUUUAAUUUCUAAGUCUUGUUUUUAGUUGUUACAAUGAAAUCACCAAAACCUUGUUCACUACUACAGCUCUUAGCCUCCUGAUAAAAACAUAGAGUUUCACUGGAUAAUGUUGUUUCUUACUCAAAAGUCCUGUGUAGAGUUAUUGUUCUUUUAAAAACAGCCUUCCUUCCAGGGUUAGAUGCAUUUGAAAAAUUAACUGAUUGAUUCAGUGUGACAGUUAUUGCUGACAAACUCAGCAUAAAUCAGAGAUCUUGUAUAUGUGCAUUACUGUUUUGCAUUUGCUGUGGAAAAAGUAGGUGUGAUUGUGAGGUAUAUUAACAAAGAUUUCCCUGUAAAGUAUUAAUGCCAAAAAAAACUGGAGGGACAUCACUGUGUAAAACCUCAUUUACCUAUCUAAAGGAAGAUGAUUUCAAACCAGAAAAGGUUCAAAGAAGAACACAGAGUGAUUAGUAAAGCCUGUUUUCCAAGAACAACAAAAGUUGUUUGUUUUAACAUAACCUGCACUUACUUUCAGUAUAGCUUACUGUGCAAUUUAAUGUCAAUCACAAAGUCUACGACUUAUUUGAAGCAAGUACGAGGAUGUUCGACAUAAAAUAGGAUAGAAAGAAUGGAUGAUAAGAUGGAGGACUAGGAAAAAACAAGUAGAUGAGAGGAUGAGGAAAUUCCUAAGAUAACCUCUGCCACAGGUGGGGAGUAGAGCAGGAGCAUAAAUAUGAAUGCAGAAGACAAGCUACAAAUCUUCCUUCUGUAAGGAGAUAACUGAGCCUAAUGCCAAGAAAGAGGUCUGUUAUUCUUCACUUUCUCUUUUUCGUGAGGAUUGUUUCAUGCUUCUCAUUCAUUAUGUCCUAAACAGUAAAUUCUGUUAGGGUGGAGGAAAAGAUGGAUUUUCUAAACAUUUUAAGUUAUAUCCUAAAUUAAAGGCUAAUUAUGCUAGCUUCAUCUUCUGCUACACAAAUUAGGAUUGAUAAAGGCAAGAAUAUGUCUACAGAAAUUCUCAAAAAUCAAGUAUGAAUACUGCAGCAGCUUAUACCUCUCUAACACCAGUCUCCUCAACUCAGAUACUUUAAAAAGGUGUUCCCGUCAGUGUAAGCUUUCUCUGUAACUGAGGGGAAAAAAAAUGCACACGUUGUGUUUAUGCUGACCUUAGAUGAAAGCAGGGCACUGUGUGCCCUAUAUUCGGUUCAUCCGAAGGCUUAAGAAAACAAUGUAGGACAUUCCUGCUUUCCAAAUAUUUAUAAAAUGUAGUCUCCCUUAUAAACAAACAAACAAAUUGUUAGAAAUAUAAGAAUUUAUAAAUAUGGGUUGCAGUUUUGUCUUUUUGUCUUUCUGUGCAGAAGCAGUAAACAUAAAUUGAUCUAUUUUCAUUAGUGAACAUCCAUAGGUAGAAAUUAAUUGUUAAAUAAACUAUCUGUGGACCAGUUUAUGUCUCAGUGUUUAAGAAUACAGACCUUUCAAAACUGUCGAGGACAGUUAUAUAGCCAUAUAUUAUACAGCUGAUCAUCAGUAUCAUGGGUGUACUUUACCUUCAUGUUAUAAGUAACAAAAUUCCAAGGGAUGAGAUUAAAGAGGUUAUAUGAAAAUUCUUAAUACUUUUAGAAUUUGUGACUUUAUAAGUAUUUUUACAGUGGAAAAACACAAGAAGAUCUUUCUAAAUGAAAGACAAUGAAAAAUCACGUAAAUAUUUCUGUACCUUAAAAGUACUUUGUUUGAAUUUUAAAAAUUACUUAGGCCUUUUUUGUGUGUGUAUGUGUUUGCAGAUUUUCUAUUUCUCAACAUUUUAAGAAAAUAUUAUGCAGUAUAAAUGCCUUAUUCUGUAUAUUAUUUAUUGAUUUAGGUACACUUACUUCCUUUGAAUACUUUCUAAACAGAACUGUUGUUUUCUGAAUUGAUUUUGCUGUCUCAGCCACACUGAAGCAUAGACACUUUUUUGGCUUCCAUCUGAAUGAACAAUUUCCUAGUUAGACACACUGGAUUUAGAGUUGGGUCAAUAAAAGCUUUACUGUGUCCUUUCUCUUUCCUCACACAACUUACAAAAGAGAACUAAAUUCCAUUCAUCCUUUCACUGGCCACUGUGGAAUCUUUAGCAAUGCAAUUCUGACUGGGAUGAGGAAACAUGGCAAGAAAUUGGAAGAAACACAAAUGAGAAUUCUUUAUUUCCCAUGCUCACUGCCCUGAAGAUCUGUUGCCACUGGGGAUGCAUGUGAAUUUCCUGCACUUUAACUAUUUGUCUCUGCCACUGAAUUGCUUUGGAAGUAUAGCACAUUAGAUAUCAAAAGAAGAUUUAGCUUAAUCCUGCUGGAUCUGAUGUGGUUAACUAAGUUAUUUGCAAAAAGACCGUUUUGAGUGGUUCUUGGCAAUCUGAACAUAAAGGUUCAUUGAACAGGUCUCAUGUGAGGAGUUCUUUUUCACUUCUGAGUAACACAAACGUUACCAUAGAUCAAUAAAGUGCUUUUACUCUAAUUUUUGUAGACAGAUGCAAAUUUCUCUUCAGAUUUUCUGGUGUACCGAAUAGUUGUUUGCAACAAUGCAGUUAAAGCAUUAAAUUUGUGUUGCUGUUGCUGUUUGCUUACUUUUCGAUGCUACAUACUGCUCUUAUAGAUAACCCUUUCAGAAUAAAUACUGCUGUGAUAAGAAAAUAUAAUCAUUUUAAAUUGUAGGCAUUCUCAAGAUAGCUUCUGGUUUCUUCUAUUUUGUGUUUCUCCAAAAGCUUCCGUAUGUAUUAUCAGCUGUACUCUCCCAGUCAUUGAGAAUUAUUCAUUCCCUCAUUUCUAUAUUGAUAUCCGAUGUG